CAAUAGCGUAUAUUAAAGUUGUUGCGGUUAAAAGCUCGUAGUUGGAUUUCUGCUGAGGACGACCGGUCCGCCCUCUGGGUGAGUAUCUGGCUUGGCCUUGGCAUCUUCUUGGAGAACGUAGCUGCACUUGACUGUGUGGUGCGGUAUCCAGGACUUUUACUUUGAGGAAAUUAGAGUGUUUCAAGCAGGCACACGCCUUGAAUACAUUAGCAUGGAAUAAUAAGAUAGGACCUUGGUUCUAUUUUGUUGGUUUCUGGAACUGAAGUAAUGAUUGAUAGGGAUAGUUGGGGGUGCUAGUAUUGAGCGGCCAGAGGUGAAAUUCUUGGAUUCGCUCAAGACUAACUUAUGCGAAAGCAUUCACCAAGGAUGUCUUCUUUAAUCAAGAACGAAAGUUGGGGGAUCGAAGACGAUCAGAUACCGU
rnacentral:rRNA from 1 species